UAGGGAAUCUUCGGCAAUGGACGAAAGUCUGACCGAGCAACGCCGCGUGCGUGAAGAAGGUUUUCGGAUCGUAAAACUCUGUUGUUAGAGAAGAACAAGGACGUUAGUAACUGAACGUCCCCUGACGGUAUCUAACCAGAAAGCCACGGCUAACUACGUGCCAGCAGCCGCGGUAAUACGUAGGUGGCAAGCGUUGUCCGGAUUUAUUGGGCGUAAAGCGAGCGCAGGCGGUUUCUUAAGUCUGAUGUGAAAGCCCCCGGCUCAACCGGGGAGGGUCAUUGGAAAUUGGUAGACUUGAGUGCAGAAGAGGUGCGUGGAAUUCCAUGUGUAGCGGUGAAAUGCGUAGAUAUAUGGAGGAACACCAGUGGCGAAGGCGGCUAUCUGGUCUGUAACAGACGCUGAGGCUCGAAAGCGUGGGGAGCAAACAGG
rnacentral:rRNA from 1 species